rnacentral:tRNA from 1 species
GCUGCCGUAUCUCAAUGGGAUAGAGAGCUACACUUCUAAUGCGGAGGUUGCUGGUUCGAAUCCAGCCGGCAGCA